GACGGAGGAUGCAAGCGUUAUCCGGAAUGAUUGGGCGUAAAGCGUCUGCAGGUGGCCGUUCAAGUCUGCUGUCAAAGACCGGGGCUUAACUUCGGAAAGGCAGUGGAAACUGAACAGCUAGAGUAUGGUAGGGGCAGAGGGAAUUCCUGGUGUAGCGGUGAAAUGCGUAGAUAUUAGGAAGAACACCAGUGGCGAAGGCGGCUCACUGGCCCGGUACUGACGCUGCGGCGCGAAAGCGUGGGGAGCAAACAGG
rnacentral:rRNA from 1 species